rnacentral:rRNA from 1 species
UACGUAGGGGGCAAGCGUUGUCCGGAAUUAUUGGGCGUAAAGAGCUCGUAGGCGGCUUGUCGCGUCGUCCGUGAAAACCUGCAGCUCAACUGCAGGCUUGCGGUCGAUACGGGCAGGCUAGAGUUCGGUAGGGGAGACUGGAAUUCCUGGUGUAGCGGUGAAAUGCGCAGAUAUCAGGAGGAACACCGGUGGCGAAGGCGGGUCCCUGGGCCGAUACUGACGCUGAGGAGCGAAAGCGUGGGGAGCGAACAGG